rnacentral:tRNA from 1 species
GUGGGAAUGCCCGAGCGGUUAAGGGACCGGUCUGCAAAACCGGUAUUCGUCGGUUCGAAUCCGACUUCUCACU